AAAACGACUCUCGGCAACGGAUAUCUCGGCUCUCGCAUCGAUGAAGAACGUAGCGAACUGCAAUACUUGGUGUGAAUUGCAGAAUCCCGUGAACCAUCGAGUCUUUGAACGCAAGUUGCGCCCGAAGCCAUUAGGCCGAGGGCACGUCUGCCUGGGCGUCACGC
rnacentral:rRNA from 1 species